rnacentral:pre_miRNA from 1 species
AUUUAAAUCACUUGGUGACAUUGUUAAAAUGCAGAUUCUGAUUCAGAAGGUCUGGGUAGGGCCUGAGACUCUGCAUUUCUAACAAGCUCCUAGGUAAUGACGAC